GUACUCACUUCGGCAGCACAUAUACUAAAAUUGGAAUAGUACAGAGUAGAUUGGGCAUGGCUCCUGUUUAAGGAUGACAUGCAAAUUCUUGAAGUGUUCCAUAUUUUU